rnacentral:lncRNA from 1 species
UAUGUUUGGGUCUGUUUCAGGACUCUAUUCUGUUCCCUUGGUCUACUUGUCUAACUUGACUCCAGUACCACAGUAUCUUGCUGUAGCUUUAUAAACUUUGAAAUCAGGGGGAAGUAUGUAAUGAUGUUUGUGACAAAAAAUAAAUGUGAUCAACUGGUAAAAACAGCCUGAUGUUGUGUCUUCAGUGAAUGUUCCCACUAGCCAGGCUGAGCUUAAGGUGUAUGGUCAACUAAACAAUCCAAAAACCAUGUAGCUCCACAAUAAUCAGAAAUUCUGGAUCCAGUAAAACAAGUCUCCUUUAAGACAUGGCUGAAUGCUGGAAGAAAGUAAAGAAAGUUCCUGGAGUCAAAGAUGAAGUGAGAAGGAAAAAUCAGAGCAGUGAAUGCAGUCUCACCCUGUUGCCCAGGCUGGAAUGCAGUGG